rnacentral:lncRNA from 1 species
CGAGAAAAAAAGAACAAAAGAAAAUGUAAUGUAAUGUAAUGUCCCACCCACCCCGGAGGAUCAAUCUUCAGCUGGAGCUGUGUGUUCUGAGAUGAGCAGAAGCAUCAUGAUCCUCAUCCUCAGACACUAACUCCUGUGGUCUAGUCCUGUAAGCUCUAAACAUGUUCAAACCACCUCAUAUACCUGACUAUCACUCAAACCCUUCCCCAGAAGGUCCACAACGCUCACUGGCCUGUUCUUUAUAUUGUUAAAAAGACUGUUACGCUGAUCUUCAUAUUCACUACAUUUAAAAAGCACAUGCUCUACUGUUUCAAAAACAUCACAUUCAUCACACACACCCCUUUCAUGCUUCCCCAUUAAUGCAAGUGUUGAAUUUAGUCCUGUGUGACCCAUCCUCAAUCUAGAAAUCAUUACUUCUUCCUUUCUGUGUCUUCCCUUACGAAAAAGAAGUUUAUUCAAGUGUGCUAUUAGUAUACUUAUUUUAAACUAAAAAAUAGGAAAGUAUACUUUUAGUUUACUUUUUAUGUACUUCUCAGAAAUGGGCUUUAUGUACUUCUAAGAUAUAUACUUAUAAUGACAAUUAAGUAUACUUGACUUAUACUUACAAAAAGUCUAAAUAUACUUGAACUAUACUUAAGUAUACUUAAUAAAAUAAACUUGAAGUAUACUACUUUUUGGUAAGGGUUUCCUCCCAGUGCUGCCAGGUUUGCGUAAUAAAACCAACCCACUGCUAACAAAACCAGCCCAAUCACUAUCCAUGAGAAAUUGGCUAUCAAAAUCAUUCAGAAUUUGAAUUCAGAGCUGGUCAAAACCUCCUUUCAGCAGUAAAAAUGGGUGCUACGCCCUUCCACAUUGUUUAUGUUCAGACUUCCGGUCUGCGUGUUGUGAAAGCGUAGCAAAAUGGCCCCUGUUUUAUGUCCAGGCUACCCUCUUGGCCGUGGCACGGUGGCCAACGACAGUCCUGCAGAGUUUUGGUCAAGCUUUGAUUAAAAAUAAUACAUAAAUAAAAACUUUAUAGUAGCCUCAGACCGUGAUCAGUGUGUUUGGUUAGGAUUGGAGAGAAUUCUCUGCAGGACUCAUUGCAGGAUCAUUAGGCCACUUUUGAACCGGUCAGAAACAUAAAAUUGUAUAACAAAUACAUUCUAAACCCUUAACUAUUUAAAACAACAAUUGGUGCACUUAUAGAAACAAAAAUAAAUCAAUGGAAUAGUAAAGCUAGAGUUUAAGAGCCUCAGACCGUGAUCAGUGUGUUUGGUUAGGAUUGGAGAGAAUUCUCUGCAGGACUCAUUGCAGGAUCAUUAGGCCACUUUUGAACCGGUCAGAAACAUAAAAUUGUAUAACAAAUACAUUCUAAACCCUUAACUAUUUAAAACAACAAUUGGUGCACUUAUGAAACAAAAAUAAAUCAAUGGAAUAGUAAAGCUGAGUUUAAGUUUCACGAAAUGAAACCAGUUUUCCCCGGUGAUCACAAGCGACCGUAACAAAUAAAUGUCUUACCAUGCAGGAAAAAUAGGCAGAUAUAUCCUAACAAAAAAGUAAUUAUCUUCUUCAUCUCUUUCCAGUUGAAAAAAUAAAUAAAAUAAUGAUAAAAAAAAAUAAACCAGGAUUCUAUUGAAAUGAACGUCUGAGUCGACGAAAUCAAAGUGAAAGUAACAGAAUAAGC